rnacentral:rRNA from 1 species
UACGUAGGCAGCGAGCGUUGUUCGGAGUUACUGGGCGUAAAGAGCGCGCAGGCGGCUUGGUAAGUCGGAUGUGAAAUCCCGAGGCUCAACCUCGGGUCUGCAUCCGAUACUGCCCGGCUAGAGGUAGGUAGGGGAGAUCGGAAUUCCUGGUGUAGCGGUGAAAUGCGCAGAUAUCAGGAGGAACACCGAUGGCGAAGGCAGGUCUCUGGGCAUUAACUGACGCUGAGGAGCGAAAGCAUGGGGAGCGAACAGG